UAGACCAGUGGUAAAAUGAG
rnacentral:miRNA from 1 species